AUUUCAUUUAGAGAUCUCUGCCUACCUGAGGCCUUCUGAAGGAAGGACCUUCUGCAUGCUGCCCGUGCUCCAGCACGCAAGUGACACAUGGCUCAUGGCUGGCCCCAGCAUCCCAGGGAGAGGAACAUCUGCUUGGCCUCAGGCAGGCCUCUGUCUGGUUUUGGGAGAGACAUCAGCUCUGAAGCUCUGAGCAGACCCCAGAGAGAUGAUGGUGGAAAAACACAGGGUAGGACAGUGGCACCUUGCUCUGAGGUCCCAGAAGAGUGUGAGGAGGCAAGGGGCGGGCAGUACUUGGCCAUCUCCUGCCCCUGUUCUGCUGUUUGCUUGGGCUGGCCAGUAACCAGGCCUGGAGGAGACGGGGAGGACCUAGUGAGCUGUCUGUGGUCCCCUUUUCCAUUUUGAAACAGGAAGUUUGGGGCAAUGUGAUAAGCAAGCAGGACUGGAAUAGUGUUUGGGGAUGUACCCCAAAUGCCAGGGGGUGGCAUCCUCCCAGCCUGGUGGGAGAGCACCUUUCAGGGUGAAGGGGACUCACAAACAGCCCUCCAUCAAUAUUUGUACUGGAAAUAGCUGCCCUUCUGAGGUCUCACUGACUUAGGCCAGAGAGAAUUGAGAGUGAUAGACUGUAGGACUGACAGCCUCCAGCUGCCCACAGUGUUGUGCUGUCUUGUUCCCACAGAGGUGCUGGUGUGGCCCGGGGCGGCCUGGUUCCCCUCAGGCCCUGGCUGCCCAUACGCAGUGCUCCCUGCCAGCUUCCUCUGCCUCCCCUCAGAGCAGGCACGUAGCAAAAAUACGUACGUGCAGUUAGGCUCUUGCCUGCGCCUGGACCUUUCCUUCCAACUCAUUUCCAAGUGCAGUGCUGAAAAACCACAGGUUUUCUCUUCUAGCUGGUCACAGCUAUCACUCCUUGACGUGUCUUUGAAUCCAAGGAACGAAAAUAGUUCUGUGAGAUCUAUUAAGUCUCUGGCUUGUAAAACACAAUAAUUUCUUACUAGGUUACACUAAUAUUUCGUAAUUCAUUCUUAAUAUUAUUCUUCAAUAAAGCUCUGCACAAACAAUCUAUCCCACAGGAGAAACCUCUGCCAGAACCCAGAUGUCAAACACAUUUGCUUCAAAUACAGGAGUUCGUGACCUUUUCUGUUUGUUAAUGUGACGCCAUGGAAAUUGUUUAUAAUAAAUAAGCGUGUUUCAGAGUCAGGUGCCCCACAGGGCCUUUUUCAGAGAUACGACAGCCCUUCCUGAAACGGGUCUUUCCUGUUUUGUUUUUGUCCCCUAACAAUAAGGUUUAGGGAGCAAUUUGAAACCCUGUCGCUGAGCCAAGUCCAACUGCUGAGAGGUAGACAGGAAGUCAGAGAUAUCUCAGAUUUCAAAUCUUUCCCGAAAUUGGCUGCCGAUAAGGCUCUUCCUUUUUCUUUUAUCCUUUACCCUAAAAAUUCAAAUUUCAAACAGCAGGCUGUAUAGAUCUAAACAAAUUCUAAAUGUAUCAGCUUAAAUCACCAAAUCAACUAGGAAACUAUUGGAAUUUCUUGGAUUCAAAUAGCAGAUUUGACAUGUGAAGGGUUAUUUACUUAUAACAUGCUCGUUUAAAGCCAAGGCUGUACCAUCUGCCUACAAGCUUCAGGUACAAGUGAUCUACAAGUUAUCUGAAGGUUAAUAUGUUGAUAAUGUAUUUCCACUAUCUUCUUCAGCAGAUGUGACAGUGUUCUCACAAACAUGUGGGACCAGCGCCUGGACUAAGAGCAGCUGGCUCUUAAUGAAGCCAGGGCAAGAAAAGGAUGCAACUGAAAAACAAGAGCCUUGGCUCUGCUCAUCCUAUUGUCAGCUGUACAUUAUGGUUUAUAACGUCUCCUAAGUUUGUUGGGUUCACCAUCUCAGAUUCCUAGACAGUAGCAGCAGCAAGCAAUGUCUCCCAAGGAGGAAGCU
ensembl:lncRNA